rnacentral:lncRNA from 1 species
UCACGGAUGCCCAGUUUUCUCCUUAUGUUGGUGGAAUGGCCUUCUCUCCUACUUCAUCACCCGGAUACAGCCCAUCAUCACCAGGCUACAGUCCGUCAUCUCCUGGAUACAGUCCCACGUCACCUGGAUACAGCCCAACUUCGCCUGGAUACAGUCCCACCUCGCCUGGAUAUAGCCCUACCUCACCAACUUAUAGUCCAAGUUCUCCUGGUUAUAGUCCAACCAGUCCUGCCUAUUCUCCUACCAGUCCAUCGUACUCACCUACUUCACCAAGCUAUAGCCCAACCUCCCCAAGUUACAGCCCAACAUCCCCAAGCUACAGCCCGACCUCUCCAAGUUACAGCCCCACUUCUCCCAGUUACAGUCCAACUUCACCAAGCUAUAGCCCCACCUCACCGGCAUAUAGCCCCACCUCACCUGCAUAUAGCCCCACCUCACCUGCAUACAGCCCCACUUCACCAUCGUACAGCCCAACCUCUCCUUCCUACAGCCCAACAUCACCUUCGUACAGCCCUACCUCACCGUCAUACAGCCCCACUUCUCCAUCGUACAGCCCCACUUCACCAGCCUAUAGCCCCACUUCUCCUGGUUAUAGUCCAACUUCACCAAGUUAUAGCCCAACUUCACCAACCUAUAGUCCUACAUCCCCAAGCUACAAUCCUCAGUCUGCCAAAUACAGUCCGUCGCUGGCCUACUCACCAAGUAGUCCAAGAUUAUCUCCUGCCAGUCCGUACAGCCCUACAUCUCCAAAUUACAGGUAAGCCAUAGUGCGAUAUGUGGUCAAGUCUAAUGUUUGUGUUAAAAGCUGUAUCCAAUUUAUUAGGUCUUGUUUUUGAUAGAAUUCUAUAUACUGAAAUAUCUGUUGAACCUAAGACUUGCUGUAGCUGGGGAUUGGACUUGGAUGGGUUUAAAUUAUUAAUGAUUUUAUCUCUGUUGUUUUUAACAUUAUUAUAUCUGGAUGAUUAUGUUGAUGUAUCUUGUAAGCAACUUUUCUUUUUACGCAGUCCAACAUCAUCUUCGUAUUCACCGACAUCUCCCUCUAUGAUACUGGACCAAUGAUGAGAUGUUCAUUUGAAGAAACGGUUGACAUUCUUCUUGAUGCUGCAGUCUUUGCAGAAUCAGAUUAUUUGAGGGGGGUCACUGAGAAUAUAAUGUUAGGUCAGCUUGCGCCUAUUGGGACAGGAGACUGUUCAUUGUAUCUCAAUGAUGAGAUGCUGAAAAAUGCCAUCGAACUUCAGCUUCCUAGUUAUAUGGAAGGUCUGGAGUUUGGCAUGACACCUGCUCGUUCUCCGGUGUCUGGGACUCCUUAUCAUGAUGGCAUGAUGUCUCCAGGUUACUUGUUUAGCCCAAAUCUCCGUCUGUCCCCGGUCACGGAUGCCCAGUUUUCUCCUUAUGUUGGUGGAAUGGCCUUCUCUCCUACUUCAUCACCCGGAUACAGCCCAUCAUCACCAGGCUACAGUCCGUCAUCUCCUGGAUACAGUCCCACGUCACCUGGAUACAGCCCAACUUCGCCUGGAUACAGUCCCACCUCGCCUGGAUAUAGCCCUACCUCACCAACUUAUAGUCCAAGUUCUCCUGGUUAUAGUCCAACCAGUCCUGCCUAUUCUCCUACCAGUCCAUCGUACUCACCUACUUCACCAAGCUAUAGCCCAACCUCCCCAAGUUACAGCCCAACAUCCCCAAGCUACAGCCCGACCUCUCCAAGUUACAGCCCCACUUCUCCCAGUUACAGUCCAACUUCACCAAGCUAUAGCCCCACCUCACCGGCAUAUAGCCCCACCUCACCUGCAUAUAGCCCCACCUCACCUGCAUACAGCCCCACUUCACCAUCGUACAGCCCAACCUCUCCUUCCUACAGCCCAACAUCACCUUCGUACAGCCCUACCUCACCGUCAUACAGCCCCACUUCUCCAUCGUACAGCCCCACUUCACCAGCCUAUAGCCCCACUUCUCCUGGUUAUAGUCCAACUUCACCAAGUUAUAGCCCAACUUCACCAACCUAUAGUCCUACAUCCCCAAGCUACAAUCCUCAGUCUGCCAAAUACAGUCCGUCGCUGGCCUACUCACCAAGUAGUCCAAGAUUAUCUCCUGCCAGUCCGUACAGCCCUACAUCUCCAAAUUACAGGUAAGCCAUAGUGCGAUAUGUGGUCAAGUCUAAUGUUUGUGUUAAAAGCUGUAUCCAAUUUAUUAGGUCUUGUUUUUGAUAGAAUUCUAUAUACUGAAAUAUCUGUUGAACCUAAGACUUGCUGUAGCUGGGGAUUGGACUUGGAUGGGUUUAAAUUAUUAAUGAUUUUAUCUCUGUUGUUUUUAACAUUAUUAUAUCUGGAUGAUUAUGUU